GCUGAUCUGAGCUGCUGCUAAGGACCGAAACGCGCCUCAAGCUGUCACUUGCCGCCUGGAGUUCGUUGGGAAAGUUGAAAAAGCCUAGUCCUGUUUAGGAAAUCUAUCCAGCUGUGUAUAUACUUUUUGCUUUUAGGGUAUGAAGCUCAGGAAGGAUAAGAAAAACAAGAUCACACAGCUGGCAAGUGGCAAAGCAGGACACAAUUUAUAACUCCAGAACGAGAAUUUGCAGUUGUUGCGCCAGAUGCCCUGUAGCGGGGCUGCCACCAAGAAGGUGGAAGAACACCUUUAAUUCCAGCACUCAGGACACAGAAGCAGGACCUCUCUGCAUAGCCAUGACUAUUCCUGGAACUCACUAUGUAAACCAGAGAUCUGCUUGCCACUGCCUCUCAAGUGCUGGGAUUAAAGUGGCUCGUCUGGGUUCAGGAAAGUAUAGCUCCAGUUUAGUGUUCUUAUGGAUCAUCGACUGUACCCAAGACCAGAAACGGAAACAACUAGAUCAUCUUCAACUGAAGAACGGAGACAGAAACGUGAUACAGGUACACAAUGGACUACUUUUCAGCUAUGAAAAAUAAAGACAUCAUGAAUUUUAUAGGGAAAUGGAUGAAUCUUAAGAAUACCAUCCUGACCUAGGAGUCUAUCAUGGAUGUCCUCUGAGAGGCUCUAUCCAGCAGUUGACUCAGAAAGAUGCAGGCACCCACAACCAAACAGUGGAUCAAGCUUGGGGACUCUUAUGGAAGAAUGGCAGAAAAGAUACACUUCCUAAGGAGAUAGGAACUCCACAGGAAGACCAACAAAGUCAACGAACCAGGACCCUUGGGGAUCUCAGAGAUCAAACCACUAUUUAUAUUAAAACAUUUUAGAAUUUAACAAAUGUUAAUUGUUCUUUAACCAUGUGUAGCUAGUAGUACUACGAACAGGAAAAAAUGAAAUAUAAUUUUUUUCACAUAUUUUUAUGAAUGUUAGCACGUGGUUUGUCUAAGGUGAUUUUAGGUUUGAAAUAAUCAACUAAAUGGAGAAAAAUGAAAAAAAGGGAAAGUAUAAGUUUUAUUAGGCACUAGGCAAAUGAAAUUAAUGAACCAGAACAAAAGUCAAAAGUGCACUGUACAGUGGAAAGGACAUCCCCAGAGAUGGACGAGAGGCUGAGCUAACAAUUCAUGAACUGCUACUCACACUUUUACAUAUUGCAUAUGAAUGAUGAACAAUACAGAAAUGGUUUUACUGGACUUGGGCUAUGAAUUUUCCAAUAGAGUUCAGCAAACCCUCCCCCCCAAAAAAAAGCCAAAUUAAAAAUGGAAAGCAAAGGGGCUGGAGAGAUGGCUCAGUGGUUAAGAGCGCUGACUGCUCUUCCAGAGGUCCCGAGUUCAAUUCCCAGCAACCACAUGGUGGAUCACAACCAUCUGUAAUGGGAUCCAACGCCCUCUUCCGGUGUGUCUGAAGAGAGUGACAGUGUGCUCAUAUAAAAUAAAUAAAUAAAACUUUUUUGAAAAACUGGAAAGC
rnacentral:lncRNA from 1 species